rnacentral:rRNA from 1 species
AGUGAACGCUGGCGGUAGGCCUAACACAUGCAAGUCGAACGGCAGCACAGUAAGAGCUUGCUCUUACGGGUGGCGAGUGGCGGACGGGUGAGGAAUACAUCGGAAUCUACUUUUUCGUGGGGGAUAACGUAGGGAAACUUACGCUAAUACCGCAUACGACCUACGGGUGAAAGCAGGGGAUCUUCGGACCUUGCGCGAUUGAAUGAGCCGAUGUCGGAUUAGCUAGUUGGCGGGGUAAAGGCCCACCAAGGCGACGAUCCGUAGCUGGUCUGAGAGGAUGAUCAGCCACACUGGAACUGAGACACGGUCCAGACUCCUGCGGGAGGCAGCAGUGGGGAAUAUUGGACAAUGGGCGCAAGCCUGAUCCAGCCAUACCGCGUGGGUGAAGAAGGCCUUCGGGUUGUAAAGCCCUUUUGUUGGGAAAGAAAAGCAGCAGGUUAAUACCCCGCUGUUCGGACGGUACCCAAAGAAUAAGCACCGGCUAACUUCGU